CAGGCAUCAUUAAGCCCUAAUUAGUCAGGCCACAGGAAGCUGGUAUCUAUUAUUUAAAGGAAAGCAAAACACAUUUUCCUUCUUCUUUGGUAGAACAGGAAGCAAGGCCACAUGCUGAGCAGGAGGAGCCAGCACAGGGUGGAGUAGUGAAGGGCCACUCUGCCGCAGCCGCGUCUCAAUGGUGAGCCUAUAUGUAUUUCCCACUGGGCACAGCGGAGCGUCAGGGAUUGAGUGGGGGUGUGUGUGUGUGUGUGUGUGUGUGUGUGUGUGUGUGUGUGUGUGUGUUUUGCUUAUUUGCUUCACAAAGUCAUUCUGGACCUCAGUUGAGAGAGAGAGGCUCUGAUUCUUUAACUGGUGGCCCCGGGCCCUAGCACCCACUCUGCAGAUGGGGAAAGAGAGGAACAUUUGUGAGAGGUUUGGAUAAGCCUGGUCCAGAGAAGAGGCACAUCAUUUAAAUUUUUUUUUUUUUUUGAGAUAGUCUCACUCUGUUGCCCAGGUUGGAGUGCAAUGGUGCGAUCUUGGCUCGCUGCAGCUUCUGCCUCCCUGGUUCAAACGAUCCUCUCACAUUAGCCCGGCAACUAGCUGGGACUGCAGGCACAUGCCACUGUACCUGGCUAUUUUUUUUUUUUUUUGUAUUUUUUGUAGAGACAGAGUUUCACCAUGUUGCCUAGACUGGUCUCAAACUCUUGGGCUCAAGCGAUCCACCUGCCCUGGCCUCCUAAGGGCUGGGAUUACAGGUACGAACCACCAUGCCUGGCCUUUUUUUUUUUUUUUUUUUUUUACUUUAAAGGUUUUAGAUAUUUCCAACAAUAAGGAGCUUGAAGGGGCACAUCACUUCUGCUCACACUCCAUGACUUGAACUUGGUAGUUUGUGGCUUUCCUGGGGGUCCUGGAAGAAGGAGAUGCUGGUUGGCUCCUCAGCUAGCUGUCUCUGCUCUACGGGGGUAGAAGGUUUGAAGACAGCUGAGAAGGUUGGAAAUAGCCACUGCAGCACGGGGAGAACAGCUGACCAGGAAACACAAGCCUGGUGGGCAGCAUUAAUGGCCUAGCUGCAGUCUGUGGGGUGGUGGGCUUUCUUCCAGCAGCCUCCAACUAUGCCCCUACAGGUCUUGAUGAAACUGAAGAAGAGAUGGAGUGGAUGGAAGAGAAUGAGAACUGGGAGGCAGGAGAUCAUAUUCCAAGAGGAGUGUGUUUGAAUUUAAGGUUUUGGAGUUAGGACCAUCCUGGAUAUAGCUGAGAUGCUGAGUGUGGCCAAGAGAGGAAGGAGUGGGGUGGAGUGAAGGUAAUUUUUUUCCUCUUACUUCUUUGUUUCCCAGACACCACCCAAUUGGGUGCUGGGUCUCAAUACAUGCUUAUUAUUUUAGCCUUAAAUUAUUUGAAUCAGAAGCAGUAAAAAAUAAUGACUAAGUAGAUUUGGCAUGUAGGAUAUUAAAAAAUUUUUUUUUUGGUGGUAUGGCUUUGUAUAACAGAAAAAAUAUGUUAAAACAGAAAGCCUUUUUCAGGCUUUUAACCCUUUUCCAUAUAUACGGCAUUGUAUUUUAUGUAAGUAAAAAAGUAAAACAUACUGUCACAAGCAGGUGUGGUGUCAGUUUCCCAAGAUGUAAAAUUAAACUCUGUCUUGGGAGUGGAUGGAAAUGAAACCCCGCCUACUUCAACCUGUGCAUUACACUGUAUGUGCCAUAAUCCACAUGGUUUAAUGUGAAUGGUUAGCAAAUGAAAAAUAAGAACAACAGUUUUAAUGCCUGACAUCUCACAUCAUUAGAUAAUAUUAGUAGGGUCCUGUUACCAAAAUGAGAGCUUUAGAGGGGCUAAUUAGAAAUACCACUAAUGAUUUAAACACUAAAGAUUAAGAAGUAGUUUUGUAUUUUCGUCAAAUCUAGUCAAGUUUUUCCUUUAUCCUAUAAAGUCUUAUCAGGUGUUAGCGAGGGAGUCUUUCCAGGUAGAAAGAGCUGAUGUAAUUAUUUUGGCUCAUCUAGGCAAGAAAGCCUGCCUACCCAAGAGGUAAAAACGUCUGUAUCUCUCAGAUAUAAGGAUCGGUGAUAUCCAUAAAGAGAUUGCCCCUAGAAGAUUCUAUCUAUACACAGGUCACUGCUCUUUCUCACUAUAUUCAAGCACAGCUUUAAAAUCAAUUGCAAAAAAAUA
rnacentral:lncRNA from 1 species